AACUUCGUGUACGACGACGGGAACCAACCCCUCCUACCGGCAAAGAGGGAGAAAAGACCCUAUCAGCAGUAGACAUGUGGACGGCAACCUCCCUGAACAACCUGGUGAGAGCUCAGGGCAGACAGGUCCACUGCUCCAGAAACGCCCAUGUGUGGAGGAAAUGAAAUUAAGGCUUUUAAUAGGGUCUUGCUCUGUCACCCAAGGCUGGAGUGCAAUGGCGAGAUCUCGGCUCACUGCAACCUGCGCCUCCCAGGUUCAAUCCUGCCUCAGCCUCCCGAGUAGCUGGGAUUACAGGCGCCUGCCACCACGCCUGGCUAAUUUUUGUAUUUUUCGUAGAGAUGGGGUUUCACCAUGUUGGCCAGGCUGGUCUGGAACUCCUAACCUCAGGUGAUCUGCCCGCCUUAGCCUCCCAAAGUGCUGGGAUUACAAGCAUGAGCCACUGCACUGGCCAAAUGCUAAAUUUUUUUUAAAAACAAAAGAAUGUUUAAACUACUUUCAUACAGAAAAUAGCCUGGGAUCGAAUAACUUCAGUUAACUAAACUAGAACUAAACCAUAAACUUAACUUUGGCUAAAAUGUGAGCAUGUCCACGAAGACAGUUUGCAGCUUGGCUGCUCUGGAAGGGAGGGGCCGUCUGGUGCCCUGCGGGGACCAUCACGCCCAGACUUACGCCUUGGACACGUCGUGUUCUCCAUAGAGCCAGCCAUCCUUCUCCUCGGGGAUGAGCAGCGUGAUGACAUCUCCCUGUGCAAAGCUGAGUAAGGUCUUGUUGGAGCCCGCAGUGUGCGGGAAGAUGGUCUUCACUUUCUGCUUCUUCAUCAUGUUCAGUCCCG
rnacentral:lncRNA from 1 species